ACAGCCACAUCAAGUUGAAACAUCGAUUCUCAUCCGAUCACUGACGUUAAGCAACGCCGAGCCUGGUUAUUUCCUAGAUGGGUGACUGCUUGAAAAUACCAGGUACUGUAAG